rnacentral:rRNA from 1 species
AGGGGACACCGAGUGCCAGCAUCAUAUGCUGGCUGUCCGGAUGUGUAAAAUACAUCCGUUAGCAAGGGCCGGGCAAGACCGGUGCCAGCCGCCGCGGUAACACCGGCGGCCCGAGUGGUGAUCGUGAUUAUUGGGUCUAAAGGGUCCGUAGCCGGUUUGGUCAGUCCUCCGGGAAAUCUGAUAGCUCAACUAUUAGGCUUUCGGGGGAUACUGCCAGACUUGGAACCGGGAGAGGUAAGAGGUACUACAGGGGUAGGAGUGAAAUCUUGUAAUCCCUGUGGGACCACCUGUGGCGAAGGCGUCUUACCAGAACGGGUUCGACGGUGAGGGACGAAAGCUGGGGGCACGAACCGGAUUAGAUACCCGGGUAGUCCCAGCCGUAAACGAUGCUCGCUAGGUGUCAGGCAUGGCGCGACCGUGUCUGGUGCCGCAGGGAAGCCGUGAAGCGAGCCACCUGGGAAGUACGGCCGCAAGGCUGAAACUUAAAGGAAUUGGCGGGGGAGCACAACAACGGGUGGAGCCUGCGGUUUAAUUGGACUCAACGCCGGACAACUCACCGGGGGCGACAGCAAUAUGUAGGCCAAGCUGAAGACUUUGCCUGAAUCGCUGAGAGGAGGUGCAUGGCCGUCGCCAGUUCGUACUGUGAAGCAUCCUGUUAAGUCAGGCAACGAGCGAGACCCGUGCCCACUGUUACCAGCAUGUCCUCCGGGACGAUGGGUACUCUGUGGGGACCGCCGAUGUUAAAUCGGAGGAAGGUGCGGGCCACGGUAGGUCAGUAUGCCCCGAAUCUCCCGGGCUACACGCGGGCUACAAUGGAUGG